CAAGUAGAAUUGCUGGGUCACGGGCUAAUUCCAUGUGUAUCUUUUUCAGGAACUGCUACACUCUUUCAUAGCAGCUAUACCACUCUACAUCCAUCAACAGUGCACUGAGUCUCCAGUUCCCCCAUGUCCAACCCAGUGCUCAUUAGUUUCUCUUUUUGUCUUGCUGAUGGUGUGAGGUAGCAUCUUAUGGCUCUGAUGUGCAGCUUCCCAGUGGAAUAAAUUCCCUGUCCCAUUCUGCCCCUUCUAAGUAUCAUUCCAAAAGAGUUAAAGGCAUCAUACUAUAGCGACCCAUGCACACCCAUGUUUAUCGAAGGACAACUCAUAAUAGCUAAAUAUUGGAAGUGACCUUUGUGUCCAUCAACAGAUGAAUAGAUAAAGGAAAUGUUCUUAUACACAAUGGAGUGCUACUCUGCUAUAAAGAAGGAAAACUUGAAUCAUAUUUAGGAAAAUGGAUGCACCUUGAGAUUAUAUUAAGUGAAAUAAAUCAGAUACACAAGCUUAAAUAUUGCAUGGUUUCUCUUAUAUUGAAAAAAACCAAUGUAUGCAUAAUUUAAGAACAAAAAUAAAAGCUAAUAGGAAACAGAAAGAUCUUUUGCAAAUAGGAAGAGAGCCAAGAGAUAAAGUGGGGAAAGGGGAAACAAAAAGAAUUAAAAUGUGUUAGGUACGUGUACCAACUCCCCACAAUGAAUGUAAUCAUUAUGUACUGCAAACACAUACUAAUAAAAACCUUUUAAAAAAAAUUUUAGGGCUGGGGAUUUAGCCCAGUGGUUUUGCCACCUGCUGCGCAAGCGCAAGGACCCGAGUUCAAUCCCCAGUACCAAAAAAAAAAUUUAUUCAGGGAUUCUGCCAUCUGCCUCGUAAGCGCAAGGUCCCAAGUUCAAUCCUUGGUACAAAAUAAAUAAAUAAAAAUAAAAAAUUUUAAAGUAAUUUCCCUGUCUCUAGUAAUGUUGACAAGUCCUUGUGGACAGUUUGUGUGUCAACUCUGGAGAAAUGUAAUAGACAUUAGUAGCAAAUUCUUUGCCCAUUUUUUAUUUAGGUUAUUUGGUUUUCUGUCAUUGAGUGAUACUAACUAGUAUUUAUUAAGCUCACAUUGUACUAGGAAAGUAUGCUCUAGAACAAACAGACAUGUGCUAACCCUGGCAGACUAAUAAUUUGGCAAUCCUCCAAACCCAUCAUCUUUAAAUAAUGUGCUAAACAUUUAUGGGGGUGGGGUGGUCAGGAGGAAACUGAUUUCCUGGGGGUUUUUUGUUUUUUGUUUUUUUGGUGCCAGAGAUCGAACACAGGACUUUGCACUUGCAAGGCAGGCGCCGGAACCACUGAGCUAAAUCCCUGGCCCCUGAUUUCCUGUUUUUAAAUGUUAUGUAUAGAAACAGACUUGCUAGUUCAUUUCUACUGGUCACGGUGCCAUCCAUGUGUAGACAAAAGUUUCCUUUGACAGACUCUUCCCCACUUUGCUGAAUUUCUUGUUCUCUCUUCAGUUUUUGUCUCUGAUUUUCCUAAAGCAGAUAAAAUCUUGGGAGGCCUAUUAAGGCUUAGAAUUCCACUAAUGAAGUGAGUCACCCCUUCCCAGGGACCAGCACCAGGCCAGCAUGACAUCGCAAUUUCAGCCGAGUGUCCCUGGCGACUUUCAGUGAUGGAGAUGGAGACUGCACACGAUUGCUGGAGAACACACACAGGAAUUUGUUUCUUGGUUGAGUAACAUUUUUGAUGAAAUAAGCAACAAAACGCAGGGCAUCAGAAUGACCGCUGCAGUAAUGAAACAAUUGAGAUGCCCACCAAAGACAGCUGGAAAUCGGACAACGAAGAUGGAGAAGACUUAACAGUUUUAAUAAACUGGAACCAAGUGACAACACGCGUAGUUCAGUUUUGCCGUGCUCUGGCCUGAGUUUGAAGCUGGAAUACUUGUAGCAGUUUGAGUAAGGAGUGUCUAGGAGUGGCUCUCUGAGUUUUUCCUGCUUGAAGUAGAAGAUUAGUAUUGUUUACAAUAUUCCACAAUUUGGGGCCGUUAUUUCAAGAAUUUUUCUGUGCCUGCUCUGCUCUCUGGAUUCCCCUCUUGUACAGUGUGCUGCUGUCUGAGAUCUUACCAUUGGAUUCUCUUCAUUUUUCUGCAUUCCUCAGACUUGGUAAUCUCUUCAAAUUCACCGAUUCUUCUUCCUGCUUAAAGCUGUUGUUGCACUGCUCUAGUAAAUUUCUCACUGCAAUUACUAGAGGUAAGUUUUUG
ensembl:lncRNA